rnacentral:rRNA from 1 species
AUUGAACGCUGGCGGCAUGCCUUACACAUGCAAGUCGAACGGCAGCACGGGGGCAACCCUGGUGGCGAGUGGCGAACGGGUGAGUAAUGCAUCGGAACGUGCCCAGUAGUGGGGGAUAACUAGUCGAAAGAUUAGCUAAUACCGCAUACGACCUAUGGGUGAAAGCGGGGGACCUUUACCGGCCUCGUGCUAUCGGAGCGGCCGAUGUCUGAUUAGCUAGUUGGCGGGGAAGAGCCCACCAAGGCGACGAUCAGUAGCUGGUCUGAGAGGACGACCAGCCACACUGGGACUGAGACACGGCCCAGACUCCUACGGGAGGCAGCAGUGGGGUAAUUUUGGACAAUGGGCGCAAGCCUGAUCCAGCCAUGCCGCGUG